UACGUAGGUGGCAAGCGUUAUCCGGAUUUACUGGGUGUAAAGGGUGCGUAGGCGGCCCCUUAAGUCUAAAGUGAAAUUUCGAGGCUCAACCUCGGAGCUGCUUUGGAAACUGAGGGGCUAGAGUGUGGGAGAGGAAAGCGGAACUUUGAGUGUAGCGGUGAAAUGCGUAGAGAUUCAAAGGAACACCAGUAGCGAAGGCGGCUUUCUGGACCAUAAACUGACGCUGAGGCACGAAAGCGUGGGGAGCAAACAGGAUUAGAUACCCCUGUAGUCCCUGAG
rnacentral:rRNA from 1 species